rnacentral:rRNA from 1 species
GACGAACGCUGGCGGCGUGCUUAACACAUGCAAGUCGAACGGAAAGGCCCUGCUUUUGUGGGGUGCUCGAGUGGCGAACGGGUGAGUAACACGUGAGUAACCUGCCCUUGACUUUGGGAUAACUUCAGGAAACUGGGGCUAAUACCGGAUAGGAUCUCCUGCUGCAUGGUGGGGGUUGGAAAGUUUCGGCGGUUGGGGAUGGACUCGCGGCUUAUCAGCUUGUUGGUGGGGUAGUGGCUUACCAAGGCUUUGAAGGGUCGCCGGCCUGAGAGGGUGACCGGCGACAAUGGGACUGAGGUACGGCCCAGACGCCUACGGGAGGCAGCAGUGGGGAAUAUUGCACAAUGGGCGGAAGCCUGAUGCAGAAACGCCGCGUGCGGGAUGACGGCCUUCGGGGUGUAAACCGCUUUCGCCUGUGACGAAGCGUGAGUGACGGUAAUGGAUAAAGAAGCACCGGCUAACUACGUG